UAUCAACUCUUAAGCUUAUAAAGUUUAUUUUAUAUGCACACAUUUUGUCUUACUUAAAUAUGCCGAUAAGGCGUUAUCAGUACACAACAAAAUGGCGACCGGUGGACAGUUAACAAAAUCAGUGAUCGAAGCAUCAGAUGUAAUACACAAUUUUCCGUGUAUUCCGUGCUCUGAGGAAAGUAAAAUUACCGAAGCAUUGUAUAAAUGUGCCGACUGCCGGACACUUUUUUGUCAAAGAUGUCUAGACGGUCACAACAGGUACAUAAAAAACCACACUGUAUUAGACGUAAAUGGCAUGAAACCCGGACAAAGUCAAAACUAUCUACCUACAUCAUCGCCGACUGUAAUACCAGUGGAUAUUUGUGAGGAACAUCAUGGGAAAAUGAUAGAGAUGUACUGCGAGGAGCAUGAUGAGGUGUGCUGUUUUGUUUGUAUUGCAAUGAAACACAGGAGUGGAGUAUAUACCAAAUGUGGCAAAAAAACUCCUGCGCGCUCAAGACAGAGAAAAACUGAAGUCUAAUCUGGAAGAUAUUACAAAGGAUCUGCGACUCCUUAGGUCGGAGCAAUCAAAAUUCUUGAAAGAGCUGAACGAACAACGAAAGAGCUCACUCAAAGAAAUACAGGAGUUCAAACUACAAUUGGUGCAAAGAGUCGAAGAACUAGGGGAAUGUUCCAUUUCACAAAUUGAAAAACGAUACAAGGCCGUAAUAGACGAUUUGAAUCACGGUAUUGAGAGAGUCGAUCAGAUGCUAAAAGAUAUUGAGAAAUAUCUCAACAAAGUCACACAGGUCCGGUAUGAUGAUGAUGCUAAAAUAUAUACCACCAUGAAGCUUGCAGAACGACAGGUGUCAAAAGGCAACGACUGUAAAGACGCACAUUUUGGGAAGCCAUUGGAGAGAAUAAACUAUAAACUCAGUACAAGGAUUAAACAAAACUUGGAGGACGUUGUGUCUUUGGGAACUAUUGAGGUGUCACAUCGAACAUUAACUCCAUUCGUGAAUAUUCUUAUGCCGAAGCCAGAUCAUGAUGUGUUGCCCUUCACGCGCUAGAUGAAUCCAAUCUUCAAAGUGUUGGAAUACGUUCAAAAUUCAUCAAGCUGUGUGAUGUCGAUGCUGAUGUGUACACAGUGGUAGUUAUUCUUGACAUUUGGGGCCUUCAUGAUUUAGAUAUUAAACGGAAACAUUAUUGCAAGAUUAUACACUUCAAACUGACGGAUAAUACAAGAAAAAUAAUGUCAUUAUUGCGAGAAAUCGGAUGGACGCCUUCUUUCACCUGGUUUGAAGCUGCGCAAAGUGUGAAAAUAUCUUUCACACGGUCGAAAAAUAAUGAAUACAUCUUCGAUCAAGCUGAUAUAGCCCGUGCACUUAGGAUAGUGUAUGACACUAUAAAGAAAUAGAUACAAAUAAAUACUGCUUCAAGCAUUGAUGUAUGUAUUAAAAGUAUUCACUAGAGUGUUGAUUGUAAGCGUUAAUACGUGAUCUAAUACAAAUUCAAGCAUGAAAUAAAAUUCUGUUUUGAAUAGUGGAAAGAAAAACGAUAUUUUGUAU